UUCUCCUGCGUUGGAGAAGUGCAGAGACAGUAAGAAGGGGAAGACCCAGCUGCGGCCUUCCUGCCCUACACUAGUGCGGUGGGGUGGGCCUGGCCAGGACCCGAAGCUUGUGGGAGGAUGGGGAGACAACCUGGGCCCGCUUUGAGUUUGGGGUGCAUGCAUGCCUCCUAGAGACCCUUCAGUCCCUCGCUUUCCCAGUCCCGCUCAUCAGCUAAGCCAUCUUCCCAGGCACCUUCUCCCCGCUAGCUCUGGGCUCUGGAGGUCCAGCUGCGCCCUGCCGCUGUGGGGCUCACCGACUCUGUGCGCGCCGUCACCUACCUUGUGCUCUUUCAGCCUCUUCCUCAGCAUAGCAUCUCGCUCUUUAAGAUGUUGCCUUAUAAUUUUUAGGGCUUUAUUGGGGAAAAUCUGGGGAGCAGAAAGAAAUGCGAAGUCCACCCCUCUUCUACUUCUUUUCCAGGUUUGAGAACCCCUCCCGGGGGCUGAGCCGAGCUCUCUGUCUCAGGAGAGCUCCCACCCAGCCCUGCUUCAGCCGCAGUGGAAGCAAGACGAGGACAGAGCACGGGUCAUUGUGGCCAUGCCUGGAAUCCCCCCAAACCUGGGAGGCUGAGGCAGGAAGACUGCAAGUUCAAGCUCAGCUUGCACAAUUUGGUAAUUUAGUGAGACCCUAUCAUUACACAAAUAAAUAGGCUGGGGAUGUAGGUCAGUGUGAAGGCAGUGAGUUCAAUCACUGUUACAACCCCCCAAAUAAAAUAAGUGAUAGACGAGUCUGAAGAUGAACAAGCUGCUUAACCUGCUCGCAUCUGUUUUCCAGUGUACAGUGGUGACAGGACCACAUCCCCAUCAGGAAUCAAAUGAUGAAGGUGCACAGAAUGCUGAAUCCCGGCACAUGGCAGAUGAAAAACAAGUGAGAGUCACCAUCAAGAGUACUGAGAUACACGAAAAGCCAGAGCCAGGUGACCAAUCAGUAAACAAUUCUGCAUCGCAAUUCAGGACUGGUGCAUUCAAAAGUUCUGUUCUGGUGGGACGUGAUUACCAGAAGUCAAAUUUCCGCAGCUGUGUACGUGCUCACAGUGCACAUGAUACACUUUAACUGAUGCCCCCACAUCAUGGACAUUUCUUGAGUUCCAGAAACUAGAUUAGAGAAUCUAGAUCUUCCUCACUGGCUGGAAGCUCAGGCCCUGGUGUCUACCUAGGGCCUGCAGGCCCUUGAACUUGGAGUUCUCCAACACGACCACUUGCUCCCUCAUGGCCAGCAAGGGAGAGAGACCUCAGGGAGACAGACUACAAUCUCGGGUGACACAAUCAUGUAUCUCCCAUCACCUAUGCAUGAACCAGGAUCAGAUGCACAUCGCAGAUCCUGUCCACACUUGCAAGUGGGGUCGUAUAAAAGCAUGUACAUCAGGAGGAAGGGGCCACGGAGGCCACCUGCUAUGGCCAGUGAUUCCGCCAAAGGUAGCUGCUUGUCACCAUGGCAACACGACAACAUCUGUUUCCCUACUUUUACAGAUGUAGAGCAAUGGGAGCAUCACACACCGCUGUUGGGAAUGUAAAAUGCUCUGGCAGUUUCUUGAAAAGCUGGAUUCUUACUUGCAGCAGAUGCCCUGCCCAGUGUCAGCAGGCUACAGUGGCACAAGCUUCCUGCCCCUUUGUAAUUCAGCUGUGCUACACUAGAAGUAGCAGGGCUCUGCUGAGUUUGGUCAAAGUCAACUGGCUCCAGCUAAAUUCCUCCCUCGGCAUUAACUGUUUGUUCUCCUCAGCACAGGUAUGCAGUGCCGCAUUCUCCAGCCCUGCCUGCUGGAAAUUUCUCAGCAGGUGUCUCCAGGCCUGCCCAGCUUCUCCUUCUCACACUGGUACUGAAUAAACACUGGACGUCCUGGGAGUCCUUUGUUGUGCUGCCCAGAGCAGUUUAGCUCAGCCCAAGAGAGUUUCUCUCCAGUCUCUCUGUGUGCUUCUUUUAAUUCCUACUUUUGUCUCGCAGGUGUAGUACUGGCUUGCAGGAGCCCGGUACCACUGCAGGGGUCUCUGGCAACUCGCAUUACCCUUUCCCUAUACUUGUGUGAUUCAGGUAUUCCACUGAAUAUUUAUCCAGAUGUGAUGAAAACAAUCUAUAUAAAGACAUGGGUAUAAAUAUUCAGAGCAGCUUUAUUCAUAAUAUCCUCAAGCCGAAACAACCUACUUCCACAGGUGAGUGGAUAAACAAAAUGAAAUAUAUUCAUACAGAGAACUAUUUCUCAGCACUGGAAAGGGGUAGACUAGAAGCCAAACCAAAAACAAGUGCUUGUUAUGUGACCAAUUAUAAGCCAUUACA